AUUUGUGCUGUAUGUUAGAUUCCAGAAAUAAGUGAUAUCAUAUGGUAUUUGUCUUUCUCUUUCUGACUUACCUCACUCGGUAUGAGAGUCUCUAGUUCCAUCCCUGUUGCUGCAAAUGGCAUUAUUUUGUUCUUUUUUAAUGGCUGAGUAGUAUUCCAUACAGCACAAAUAAACCUUUCUACUGAAAAGAAAAUCGUGAACUUGGAAAAUAGACUCGUAGCUGCCAAGGGGGAGAGGGAGGGAGUGGGAUGGAUUGGGAGCUUGGGGCUAAUAGAUGCAAAACUAUUGCUUUUGGAAUGGAUUAGCAAUGAGAUCAUGCUGUGUAGCACUGAGAACUAUGUCUAGUCUCUUAUGAUGGAGAAUGAUAAUGGGAGAAAAAAGAAUGUAUUAUAUGUAUGUGUAACUGGGUCACCAUGCUGUACAGUAGAAAAAAAAAUUGUAUUGGGGAAAUAACAAUAAAAAAAAUAACGUAAAAAAAGUUCUUGUUCCCUAAAGUCCAGAACAUCAACUGUCCAAAACCAGACACCUAUGUUUUAACCACUAGCAUCUUCCCCAAGGGGGGAAGGACAUAUAUUUGCAAAGUUAGCUGCUGGAAAAGAUGAUUAACUGCAAGUAUUGACCUUCACAAAAUAGAGUCGUUUGGCUAGAAUGUGGUAAAGGAAUCGGUUCAGUUCUAUGUGACAGUGUGAAGAAAAUAACACAAUAUAAUGUGAAUAGCUUCAAUAAGGAUUAACAGUUUAAGCCUUAAAAUAGUAGGGAGGAAAGACUUGAGUUUCUUUCUCUGUAAAGGAGCCCAGAGUCUAGUGAGAGAUGUGAUGACUCACUGAGAAGAGGAUUCCUGGGGUUUUAUCAGGACCGAGGAAUUGCCCCUGGAUUAAAUCAGAAGGAAUUUCCCAAGGUAAAUGGGGCCGUCGUAGACUGAUAUCAGCUGAUUCUCUUCAUUGCUUUCUCUAGAACCCUAGUCCCUUGAUGAGUUAGAGAUUGCACUUUUUGAUUAAUCCAGACCCUAAUUAGUUUCUCAAAAUAUUUCCCCCACUGCCUUGCAAGCUGGACAGUAUUAUGAAUACAGGGAUUGCUUAAUAAUAUGACACAAGGAGGAGGAGAAGAAAGAAAGAGAAAGAAUGACAAAUGUUUCUUACCUGUUAUUUCAGCCUCUGGUGAUGGGACCCCUCUGGUCUCUGCCAAGUUCUUGGUCUCGGUGCUUGGGGUCACUUGAAAUCUUGCAUAGACAUUUACUCAAGUCCUGUCCAUUCUCUUUGCUUAUCAUACCUUCGAGACAUCUUCUUUUGUUUAUCCCUUCUUUAAAGGGGACAUCUUUCAAUCGUAAAACCCCAGUCUGUCUUUUUUUCUUUUUAACUACUUUUCUCUUCCAGAUGCACAACUCAUUUGCUGUGGUUUUCUGGACUCUGUUGACUAACUGCCAGCCUCACAUUUUGAUGAGAAUCAAGAAACUUGAGCAUUGGGUAAUAAUAAAAUGUAAGCCUCACUUAAAUAUAAGCAAUUUAUCCUUCAUUAACAGUUAGGAUAAUGAACCAACUUCCCUGUUUCUCUCCUAAGGAUAUUAUGAGCUUAAUGAGACCAAACACAUGCUUUGACUCUCAUGUAUUUAAUCUAAACUCGUUUUGGAGAAGUGAAUGGCUUAAGUGGAGACUGAAUGACCUUGAAUGUACCUUACUUAUUAAAGGAAGUGGAGCUGUGCAUGUCAAGGAACAAUGAAAAGAAGAGAAAAUUAUAAGAUAAGGGUUGGAUCUGUUUUUUACAACUUCUAGGGUUGUGUAUUGAAAGAGAAUUCCACCGUGAUGGGGAUUUAUAUGUCUUUUGGGCCCAUGAAAUUUCUCCAAUUUGUGCUAUUAUGUAGCUCAUCUUUUCAGAGAAAUCCCAGAGUGCCGACAGAUCAAGAGGUUUAACAUUUCAGCAUUCAGCAAACGCAGUAAAUAUCAGAGGUGACUUGUAUUGAAUGUAAGAGCAGAUGUUGUUUCGGCAGGAAGCAGAACACCCACAGGCUUGCAGGAACUUUGAGGAAAUUUUCUGCUAUACCUUGCGCCAAAUGCAACUUGGUAUUUUAAUAAAUUUUGUGUAUCUUGUUGCUUCCCUAUAGGGCAUCAUUCUUGCCAAAGUUGCCACCUGAAUGAGGGGUCAUUUCCAAACUCAUCUGUUAAGUUCAAUUAACAGAGGUGUCUGAACUUUUUACUUGAGGGUUUGCACUUUAUAUUCACACCUCACCCUCUGAGACUGAGUCUUAGGGAAACUCUUUGAGGAUAAUAUCUGCUUCCUAUUUAUUUGAAGACCGUGCUUUUAGUGAAGAAUACCUCUGCCAGAAAGGACUUAAAAUAUGCACCUCAGUGAUUCUGUUUCUUUCUCGAGUGAGAAUUUAUUCAUUGUGGCCAGAUCGUCUUCUGUGAAAUGCAGUAUUGGUGUCAUACUUGUACAGGCCAGGCUCCACUUCCCUUGGAAAAAUCAAAUUACACAGUUGGCCAGAACUGACAGCAUAUAAGCCUUGCCUCUUGCUAAAGGUGAGUGUUAUGUAUGUCUUUUCACAUGCUGGUCUUGCAAAUGUAAUCUUCUGAUGUAUGUGGGCUUCGGUCUUCAUGAUGGGAAAAAGGGAAGGUCUCAGAAAUAUACUGGGAAGGUACUCUUGGCAUAUCUACAUAGAAAAAAAUUAAUUUCUGGUCUGGAAAGCUAAAUUCAAUCCAUUUCCACCCCAAACUCCAAAUAUAUGUGUUUCUGACAUGGGGUGUCUUUCAGUACAGAAAGAAUAUAUGAGACAUGCUUACUAAUGAUUCCUUUCUUCAAAUAUACUCAAGCCUCUGAUAGAUUUAGAUAUUCCCCUCUUGGCUCUAGCAGUCUCGUGUCCCUGGGUUUUCUCUUUUGAAUAAUAGUUAUUUUUUGGUAGAGCCUUUAGUAGGUAAUAUGUACAUUAUUACUUUUAAAGCUUAUGUCAAAUUGAUAUUAUUGGGGAUGGACUAUUAUUACACAUGAUGACACGGGUGAAUCUCAAGAAUGUUGUGCUGAGUCAAAGCAGCCAGAGAGUUUAGGAUACCUGAAAACAUCUGAAGCUUCUGUUUCCAUGACAUGUUGGCAUGUUGGGAAGCCUGAAUACCCAGCACAAUAGACAGUAAGAAUGUUCAGUUUAUAAUUCACAGGCAGGAUUUCCCCUUUUACAACCCUUAAGCUGGUGUGAGGGAGCUUUAGGACCUUAUCUCAGGGAGAUUUGGGGGGAGAUUUUGCCUUAGGGCAACAAAAUUUAGAGUAUAAAAAGACUUUUACAAGUUACUUUAAAAACUAUGCAAUAUUUAAACAUGCUAUUUACACUGAGAUAAUUCAAGUACUCUUUCAGCCUGUAGAAAGCUCUCGAGUUUCAUACUUAGAGUCAGUUAACCAUAGCACCCUAUCAGUACUUGUCUACAAACAAUAUUAUGAAUCACAAAAUUGACUUGAGAUAUUUUUCAGGUUGUUUGUCCCAGGCUUGUUAAAAGUCUGGUCUUAGCCUCUGCCACUGAACACCUGGGUUCCAGUAUUUCACCACUAAUAAUGGUUUGUCCCUUACACAAGCCAAAAGGAUUUUUGGGUUGAAUUCUUCUCUAAGUGCAGGAGAUAUGCCUUCCAGGUCGACCAGCUGUCUCUUCAUGGUGUUCUGAAUAUGUGCUGAGCAUGACCUAAUUGAAUGUUUAUGAUAAAUAGAUGAGUUACAAGUAUUAGCAUCAUGUAAGAGUUGCAGAUACUGAGGCUUAGGGCAGUCAGGAAACUUCCACGUAGCCAUUUGUGGUGGAAUCAGGAGCAUAAGCCAGACUGGUCUGACUCAAAAUCUAUUAUCUUUUAGCUCAACUGUAUUGGUUCUUGAAUAACCCAAUCAUCUUCUUGUUGUUUAGGCUGCUCUUUCUCUUCAUGACACUCACCACCUCCUCCCUCUUCUUUCCUGCUCCCAGAUUAGAUCACGGAACUUAAACCCUUCCUCCUUGAGAACAGGAGGAAGGGUUUAAGUCAUCUGCUCAGUACAAGAGCUACUUCCCUCUUCAGCUUUGAUCUUUACUUUUUGCCCUUUGCUUGACCCUGAGCUGUCUGCAAAGAAGAUGGGGGGUGGGGUGAUGGGGGGGAUGUGAAUUACUUGGAACACAAGAAAUUGUUAUGUCUAAGGUUGGAAUCCCUAUAAUGACUUUAGGGUGUUCUGCACCUGCCAGCUCCGUUGGUCUAUAGUCUUGGUGUCUGUUUCUGGGAGUUUGCCUUGGUCAGAAAGGACAAAGGGAGGUACCAUUUAUGGUGUAAC
rnacentral:lncRNA from 1 species